UUUCACAGUAGAACUAGCUAUU
rnacentral:miRNA from 1 species